CCAUGCACACCACAGGUGCUACAGCCCCAUCACGCUGCCUGGCACGCACACAGCACAGGUUGCAAGGCCUUACGUAGCGAAUACAUGUCCACCAAUGCAACAGGCGUGCUAUUUGCCACCAUAGAGCAGUGCGCCACAUUUUCCGCCACUGUAAAUCGGUAGGUUAUAAGAAUGGUGCCGGCCAGCUGCACGGCCUCUCGCAGCUAAAACCUGCUGGGCCCCCUUUCAUCUGUCAUCACUACCCGACUGCCGUACGCACGUCAAACUCUCAGAUCCCCAUGCAUUCCAUCCUUCCCAUAAUAAACUGGCGCAACCGUAGAUUACUAUGUCAUUCGUUCAUUAGCACACUACGUCUCUACAAUACAUCAGUCCUCUAGGUGUUCACGUAGCGGCCCCUGCUCUGGCCCGCCUGGCCCUGCUCUGGGUUGGUCUUCCGCACGGGCAGCCAUGCCCGAGUAGAAACAUUUCCUUGCUCCAUCGCAGCAAUAUGGACCCAAGCAUGGUCCUUGCAUGUGUUACAGCUGCUGGCGCAGCUGCUUACGUGGGGCACUCGCUCCAGCAAGCCGGCCGCUUCGUUAAGGACAGCUUAGAGCGCGCCGGGCUGCAGACCGUGCAGCAUAUGCAAGAGCAUGGGCCACAUUUCAGUUCUCCGGCCAAGAAGGAGAAGUCGGCCAAGGAUGCGUGAGCGGGUGAAGGGCCAGAGACGCUUCAUUUGCGUGUACCACGCCGUUCCAGCACCAAUACAAGGUGGGUGGUGAUGGCCACACGAUGUCGUGCUGGGCCUUGUCCUGCUAACGACGACGAGCUCAUCCAGUCCCAAGGCCCAGCACGACAAGUGGCUAUCCACGCUCACCACGUAUUGCUGCUGGAACGGCUUGGUGCACGCAAAUGAAGCGCCUCUGGCCCUUCACGAGCUCACGCAUCCUUGGCCGGCUUCUCUUUCUUGGCCGGAGAACUGACAUGUGGCCCAUGCUCUUGCAUAUGCUGCACGGUCUGCAGUCCGGCGCGCUCCAAGCCGUCCUUAAUGGAGCGGCCGGCUUGCUGGAGCGAGUGUCCGACGUAAGCAACCGCGCCGGAAGCGGUAACACACGCGAGGAUCACGUUUGGGUCCAUAUUGCUGCAAUGGUGCAAGAGAUCUUUCGUUCAGGCCUCCUCCCUGCUAAAAGAACUCCUGCUGCCAGAUGCUUACCACCUUGCAAGAGUUGUCAGCGUUGGCUUCUGUGAGGUAUUCAGCUUGCUUGUGAACAUAAAUCAGCUUGCUUUUACUUGUUCUGCACGGGUUUGUCCCGUCUAGGUCGCGUUUCCGCCCAUUUGCUCGCGAUCAGGCCGAUGGGCCGAUGGGCUGCGCCCCCCCCCCCCCCCCCAAAAAAAAGAUUCAAGUGCGCCCCCACCCCAGCAACGACAGCAGCACCAGCAGCACAGCAGUGCUUUACAACUUGGUACACAGCCAUGCCACAACGCGGAUGCGCGCAUCUGUAGCCAUGUCAGCCAGGCAUUGUCACCGUGCAUGAAGAGGAGCAGUGCACGCGUCGCGACCCACACCGAACCACCCCCCUGCACCUACGGCCCCCCACCACCACACUGUGCCCACAAACUCACACCCCUCCCCGCUGGUUAUGGCAGGCUAAUGUACAUGCCUUUCCGCGCGGGGCACUCCCGCCCAUCGUCCGUUUGCUCUCAGCUUCCUCUCGUGCUCACUGCCGCUAAAGCCAUCACGCACACGCCGGCCUCUCGCUCUCAAGCCCGACCCAACACCUCAUCAUCCAAGCGCCUAUGCUGAUCGAAACCCACGUGCGAAAGCCCUGCGCGCAAUACCCCAGUCAAUAGCGGGCAGUCGCCACGGCGUGCCGCGCCCACGGAUGGCGCAUUACCGCACCUCCGCUUGCACCGCAUUAGUGGGUGUGUGAUGGGACAGGGUUUAGGCAGGUUGGCGAGGUCCCGUAGGGUGCAGCUGAUGCCCAUAUCCCAAGCAGACGGCAGACAGUUUGCAGUGGCAGAGCAGAAGUGCAUGGCUGGUCGAACGCCGGAGUUACUGUACCGACAAGUUGCUGGCUGGCUGGAAGUUUGCUGAUGCGCAUUCCUCACGCUCUGGGCGCCCCGCCAGGCGAUAGCACCACACAGACACACCGCAACGCCACACUCGCGAUGCAGAGCCGCAGCGCACCUGCAGGAAGAUGGCCAGCGUCCACGGAUGAGCACCAGAGGCAACCGCAGAGAAAAUGCAGACAGAGUGCAGCAAAGCAGUGGCCGGGCGACAGUGUGACAAGCAGGGGCGAAAACAGGGCGAGGCAAGGCAGAAAAGGGAGCCCGAAUGUACGGAUAAGUGGCGGGCGAGAACCGCAUUAGUGGGUACUACCACAUACUAGGCACGCAAGCCAGGAACCCGUGUGCCCCUGUGCCCAUGCGGCGGCGGCGGCAGCGGCGACAGCGACGCAGGCACGUAUCCUCCACACCCGCCACGCACCAGCAUCAGCCCCCUCCAAAACCCCGCUCCAUCACUACCACACGCACGCGCCUUGGUGAGAGAAAUGCGUGUGUGUUUGUGUGCGUGUGUGAUUGUGUGCAUGUGUGAGCGUCGGCAAAUGCCAAGCCCGAAUGCAAACGUACGGCACCCGCCGGGAAAAAAACUGGUCUGGUCUGGUGAUACGCAGAACCGCGCGUACGGCGUCCCGCCGCGCGUGGCAAAGUCGCAACGCUCUUCACACGCGUGCGUGCUGCCGUACCGGGCGCCACGCUAUGCCGUACUCAGCCAUGUCACCGUGCCCGACACGCAAACAGUCCGUGGGGGAGAGCCAUGCGCAGCCCCCCCUCAAUAGCCAUGCUAAUCCCGUGAAGAGCCAUCAUGCAAGCCCACUGCGGUGCGCAGGGGCACAAAACUUGAGCAGCAGCAUGUGCAGCAGCAGCAGCAGCAGCCAACAAGACGCACACACGUACACGCGUGCGUGCUGCCUGCCUGGCCCAGCGCGCGUAUCUUACGAAGGCAGGGGCGGCGUCAGUGGCCGAAUUCCUUAAAAUGGCUUCGUUUAGUUGACGAAACAGGCUGCCGCCGCUUCGUUCACCCCCAAAAUUUUUCCGGGGGCUCCGCCCCCGACCCGCACGAUGUCGACACCGACACGACACGUUCCCUGCUUCCCGCCGACCCAACCUCACUCUCCCGCCAGGGGAAACCCUGUCUCCCGCCGUCAACACCCAUAGAUACAGCCCUUUGAGCCUUCUUACCAUACGCCACGCAGGUUUCGGCCGUGGAGUAGCCGCUGGAACCCCCUGUCCUUGGUAAAAAGUGGCCGAAAUCCCAAAAAUGUCUUCGUCUGUUUGCCGAAAGACCCCCCAAGAGCCCGUGCGUUUUGGCCGAAAUUCCAAGUCAAAAUCAAAAAAAUUUCGUCCGCCAGAGGCCUUCUUGGGCAAAUUUCGUUCCGAACGAAGGAAGAUACGAGCGCUGGCCUGGCCGCCUGCCUACAAAUGUGGAAUGUCACCGGGGCCGCAUCUGCCGGCCCGGCCUGACCUCGGGUGAAUCAUGAACGCAAGCCCACUCCGCCAUCCGCUCUGGUCUGCGUACGCAUUAGUUCCGCAACACUCGUCAUUAAUCACGAUGGUGGUGCGAGAGGCAGGUUUGACAUAGUGUGUUGCUCGCAUACCGUACGUGGCUCGUGGGGGGUGUGAAAACCAAGCGAUGGGACAGGGGCAGGGGCAGGUUGGCGUAGUCCCGUAGUGUGCAGCGGACAACCAGACCCCAACAUUCAAUUUGCAACGCCAAGGCCAGAUUGCGCGUUUUGGUGCUGGGCAGUGCCUGCCUGUUGUGGUGCGCGUCGCCACGCGCUCGCUGGCCGUUGGGCUUCCUGUCGUGUCAGCAGGUGAACCCCUGCGUGUAUUUGCCCUCGGCCACCCCUGCUCUCGGAUGUUCGUGUCGAUUCCGUCCCUUCCCUGUCAGCCCGGCUCCUUCUGAUCAGCUCAUCAACCGGCUGUUACAGCGGAGGCCGACAGCUAGCCUGCACAGCUGCACUGCAACACCCAUGCACACCACAGGUGCUACAGCCCCAUCACGCUGCCUGGCACGCACACAGCACAGGUUGCAAGGCCGUACGUAGCGAAUACUUGUCCACCAAUGCGACAGGCGUGCUGUUUGCCACCAUAGAGCAGUGCGCCACAUUUUCCGCCACUGUAAGUCGGUAGGUUACCGUAUAAGACUGGUGCCGGCCAGCUGCACGGCCUCUCGCAGCUAAAACCUGCUGGGCCCCCUUUCAUCUGUCAUCACUACGUGGGGUUAGAGGCGGAGGACCGGAGGCCCCGAAGGGGCCGGAGGGAAUGAAGCCUCUAAGCGAGCUUCCAUGAGGAAGUCGUACAGGCUGGCUCUCUUUGGCGCCAGCCUCCUCUCUCUUCUUCAUUCCGCCUUCAUAGUGAGAGCUUUUAACGUUACUUCUAACGUUCUCACUCAAGUGCCCGCCCUUCUUUCCCGCCCCUCUUUUUCGGCUAAUCUCCCCUCCGCGCAGGAUCGCUCGGCCCUUCCGGCGCCGGCGCCUCCGGCAUCCGUGCUGUUGCCUCGGUGUCGCCGCCGGUUCGCG
rnacentral:lncRNA from 1 species